UUAUUACUUGUUUAAGAGCGAGCUUUAUCAAACACAGUUACAUUCAUUGUUCUCAAUUGUGUAAUAAUGCUGGAGAAAAUUUUAAGCCACCAGAGUAUAUUUCAAUCAAAUAAAUUUAGGUACUAAUCCCGUUAACUAUGCUGUUGUUUAUAGGGUUAUCUAACAUAAACCAAACCAUGUUCUAGAACUAAAAAUAGUUACAUAUUUAAAUUAUAAUUUUCUUAUGAAUUUACCAUAUCUUCUUGUAAGUAGUUUGGAUUGAUGCAACGGGUCUGCUAAUAUCAACUAGAUAUACCCUCUUCCGAAGUCUUUUCUGAGGUUAAGUUUAAGGCGGAAAGGUAUCACGAUAUGUUUAUGAAAACGGCUGGAAUACAACAAAAAUGGCGCAUACAAAAAUCAUGGCAAUGCUUAAAUGAAGUGAAUUAUGACCAUCACUGCGAUAACACGAUGAUAAUAUGGCAACCUGACCUUUUGCCUUCCAUAACAGUCUUUUUGGAAAAGGAAAGUUUAAAAGAAUUUAGCUUUUCUUGACGAAAGCACAUCUUUUCGAUGUCAAAAAUACUUACAUUGUAAUAUUUAAUUUAUGACAUUGUACAUCUUGUCUGCGCGCAUUACAUAAAAUAAAUAACAGUAAUAGCUAAAAUUUCAAGCAUCAUCACCUGGCAUUUCGACAAAUUAUGCUAUUUCUCAUACUUUCCUGAAAUACCGGUGACUGAGUUAACAUAUUCAAAUGUUAUCUGUAUGAGAUGACAAACUGGUUUUACAAUUAUCCUCUUCUCUUGUAUUUCUAUCAUCAGAAGCUUAAAUAUUUAAGCGAAGAAUUUUUGCAGACAUACAUUUUAUUUCUGUUAUUUUAAUGACCUGCUCUAUUAAUUUCUGACAGUUCUGUUGUUUAUUUAUUUAUCCAUUUAUACAUUUUUUGCUUCAAGACUAACCUUGGAAUAUAAUCGUCUGCAUAUGGCAUUCGGAACUUCGGAUCUUCUUCGGAUAGUGCGAAUUGGGCAACCAAUGAAAGAAGAUCUAUAUGAAAUCUGUCCCUGACCUAUGUAAAAGCUUCAACAGCUUUCCCGGAAUCGGUCCAUCGCAAAUGAAAGAACAUAAAAAGAAAAACUAAAGCCAUAAAUAACGAAAAUUUUUCUGGACAAAUAUUUUGAAACUGAUCAAGUCAUUGGGAAUUUUGUUUGGAAAGAUGAUAUCUUGUUCGUAGAUAUGACCCUUUUGUAGCGAUUAUUGUUGAAAGUAAGCCACUGCUUGAUGCGACUGAGUAGAACAAAGCAAGAAGAAGGAGCGAUCAUAAAGCUGUUUUCAUUAAAGGAAUAAAAGGCUGAGAUAUUAGCCUUGAGAUAAGAUUUACAUGGCCUUUUCUUUUAGAAACAUUUUUUCUAAAUGAACAUAACUCGGAACUUAAAACGAUGUUGUGGCAUAUAUUGUAUUUAGCUCAGUUUCAAAGAAAUUCUAAGUAGCUAGCAAAAGUUAUACCAGAAGCUAAAGUAUAACGUAAUGAAAAUACAGAGGUUUUUACUCUGCUGUCUUUGUUUAAGUCUAUGUAAAAGUACUUUUUUCUCAUGAAAUUCUCUGCACAUAUAAUUCCAUUUUAAAUUUUUUUAAAUCUUACUUUUGGUACCACAAAUAAAAUUAAUACUUUGUAAGGUUUAUCCUAAGUUUAUUAACAGUUAUUUUUACGUUAAAUCUCUUUUACUAUAUCUCCUAAUUUCAGCUUACAAAUUCCUUACCCGAAUGUGUUUUUAGAAUAGCGUUUAAUGCAGAUGAGAAGGGUAGUAUUUAAGUCGAAGUUCGGCUGGUUUCGAGAGAGAGAAUCAGAGUUUCUGACUAGCGAACGUUUGCCUUUUAGCCACAUCUCUCUAAGCAGUUACUACGCUCGGCCGUAUUAUGAAAUUUUUAUAGCUUCUCUAACUAAUUCGAUAUUUAGGGGCCAACUAAUUAGAGUUAUUUUAGCUUCGGAUAAAUCUUUUUAGUUAGUCAUUAGUUAAGUUCUUAUUUCUUGUAAUUUUUAGUUUAAGCCCAAG